rnacentral:misc_RNA from 1 species
UUAAGUUCAGCGGGUAGUCCUACCUGAUUUGAGGUCAGAGCUUAAAGUGUAUUAGAGUGGAGGUUACGAAAAACUUAUUACGCAUUCCACUUAGACAUUUAAGACGAGCCAAAUAAUAUGGCACACGUCCAAACCACCUAGAUCGGAAACCCGAUUAGAUGAAGUCUAUAUGACACUCAAACAGGCAUGCCCUUCGGAAU